rnacentral:rRNA from 1 species
AGUGAACGCUGGCGGCGUGCUUAACACAUGCAAGUCGAACGAGAACGGGAUAUAGCUUGCUAUAUUUGUCAGCUAAGUGGCGCACGGGUGAGUAAUGUAUAGGUAAUAUGCCUCUUACUAAGGGAUAACAAUUGGAAACGAUUGCUAAUACCUUAUAUGCCUUUAAGACUAAAGUCUGCAAGGGAAAGAUUUAUUGGUAAGAGAUUAGCCUGUAUUGUAUCAGCUAGUUGGUGAGGUAAUGGCUCACCAAGGCUAUGACGCAUAACUGGUUUGAGGGGAUGAUCAGUCACACUGGAACUGAGACACGGUCCAGACUCCUACGGGAGGCAGCAGUGGGGAAUAUUGCACAAUGGACGAAAGUCUGAUGCAGCAACGCCGCGUGGAGGAUGACACAUUUCGGUGCGUAAACUCCUUUUAUAUAGGAAGAUAAUGACGGUACUAUAUGAAUAAGCACCGGCUAUCUCCGUGCCAGCAGCCGCCGUAA